GCGCACGCAGGCGGUCUGUCAAGUCGGAUGUGAAAUCCCCGGGCUCAACCUGGGAACUGCAUUCGAAACUGGCAGGCUAGAGUCUUGUAGAGGGGGGUAGAAUUCCAGGUGUAGCGGUGAAAUGCGUAGAGAUCUGGAGGAAUACCGGUGGCGAAGGCGGCCCCCUGGACAAAGACUGACGCUCAGGUGCGAAAGCGUGGGGAGCAAACAGGAUUAGAUACCCUGGUAGUCCACGCCGUAAACGAUGUCGAUUUGGAGGUUGUGCCCUUGAGGCGUGGCUUCCGGAGCUAACGCGUUAAAUCGACCGCCUGGGGAGUACGGCCGCAAGGUUAAAACUCAAAUGAAUUGACGGGGGCCCGCACAAGCGGUGGAGCAUGUGGUUUAAUUCGAUGCAACGCGAAGAACCUUACCUGGUCUUGACAUCCACAGAACUUUCCAGAGAUGGAUUGGUGCCUUCGGGAACUGUGAGACAGGUGCUGCAUGGCUGUCGUCAGCUCGUGUUGUGAAAUGU
rnacentral:rRNA from 1 species